rnacentral:rRNA from 1 species
GUGGCCGCCGCGGUAAUACCGGCAGCCCGAGUGAUGGCCGAUCUUAUUGGGCCUAAAGCGUCCGUAGCUGGGUCUGAAAGUCCAUCGGGAAAUCCACUCGCCCAACGAGUGGGCGUCCGACGGAAACUGCACAGCUUGGGACCGGAAGGCUCGAAGGGUACGUUCGGGGUAGGAGUGAAAUCCCAUAAUCCCGCACGGACCACCGAUGGCGAAAGCACUUCGAGAAAACGGAUCCGACAGUGAGGGACGAAAGCCAGGGUCUCCAACCGGAUUAGAUACCCCUGUAGUCC